rnacentral:tRNA from 1 species
GGCUGGGUAGCUCAGUUGGUUAGAGCAUUGUCCUGGUAUGCCAAGGUUGCAGGUUCAUUCCCCAGUCA